rfam:Ovis aries breed Texel chromosome 6, whole genome shotgun sequence.
UCCUUGGUGGCUCAGAUGGCAGAGAAUCUGCCUACAACACAGGAGACCCAGGUUCAGUCCCUGGAUGAGGAA